rnacentral:rRNA from 1 species
CGAGGAAUAUUGCGCAAUGGACGAAAGUCUGACGCAGUAACGCCGCGUGAGGGAGGAAGACCUUCGGGUUGUAAACCUCUUUUUGGUAGGACGAGUGAGGACGGUACUAUCAGAAUCAGUCUCGGCUAACUACGUGCCAGCAGCCGCGGUAAGACGUAGGAGGCGAGCGUUAUCCGGAUUCACUGGGCGUAAAGCGCAUGUAGGCGGUUGGAUAAGUCGUGUGUUAAAGCCCCCGGCUCAACUGGGGGAGGUCAUGCGAGACUAUUCGACUUGAGGGCAGCAGAGGAGCAUGGAACUCCCGGUGUAGCGGUGGAAUGCGUAGAUAUCGGGAAGAACACCAGUGGCGAAGGCGGUGCUCUGGGCUGCAACUGACGCUGAGAUGCGAAAGUGUGGGGAGCAAACGGGAUUAGAUACCCCCGUAGUCC